GUCAAGAUCCUGGAAUAAGCCCAGAAGACACAACACUUGUUUCCUCUGGAGGAACCAGCAGCAAGGUGCCAUCUUGGAAGCAGUGAACAGGCUUUCAGCAGACACCAAACCCACUAGUGCCCUGGUCUUGGACUUCCACCCUCUAGAACUGCCAGGGUAACCAGCAGCUGAAAUCACAAGAACUUAUCUACCAGCCCACAACAUAAUUUACUUCAUUAGAAAGUUUUCCACAAGCUGGCAUUGGAAACUUGGGCUUUAGAAGUGAAAGAAAUCAAUUUAUCCCCUGCUCUGAGCCAUCCUGCCUUACGUGGCUGAUUUCUAAACCACCACACAGGCCUUGUUACAUUCUCCCUGCCGAGCAUCCUUCCAACUUGUGUAUAAUAAGGAGAUGAAGUUGAAAGAAGACGUCAAUGAACAUAGUAGUUUUUUUAAUCUAAAAAAUACAAACAGGCUUUAAAAGACCAUAUGUAAGUCUUCUUUAGUUUCCAAACCACAAUAGAUGUACUAGGCAUGAUUAUUCUAAGGUCCCUGCAAUAAAUGAAAUCCGAGGUAGUUCCAACAAAUGAUGAAUUCAUGGUGGAAAAAUAAUUUCACUCAUUUGCUGUCUUAUCAUAGGUUUUGUUUUCUCUCCAAAAAAUACAUAGUUGGGGUGAGGGGGCAAUACAGAAAAAAAAGAAACGGGGGAUGAUUGCAUUGUUUACAAAGCAAAAAGGAAAUUAUUUGGUUCUGUGAAUGCAAAAUGUUUUGACAGUAUUUCCGAUUUUGCAGGACAUCUGGUGUAGAUGAUAUCGAGGGCAUUAGAAGUAAAUAGCUAAAUUCUGUUAUUAGUUCUGUUACUAUUCUACCAUAUGGAAAUAUUUUUAUUUUUCCCCUCAGUUUAAUUCAUUGUUGACUUGGGAGAGAAAAAAUCCAAUUAAAAAUGACAUGUGAACUGCUUGUCACCCAACUCUUGGUUGCCUAACAUUGUGGCCUAUUUUUUGUAUAGAGACCCAGUUCUUGAAUUAGCCU
rnacentral:lncRNA from 10 species